CCUUUUGCUUCUGGCUGGCAGCCAAGGCAGGGAGCAGGCCAGGGAUGGUAACUCUGAUUAUCUUCAUUCAAUAGGAAGAAGAGGGUAACAGAAAAUGAGAAACAGAAGGAGACUAAAAAAGCCACCCAUCUUCUCCAGAUAUUGAAGCUACGGAUUUGUUGGGUAUUUCUGCCAGCUGCAAGGAAGGACAGGGGGACUUUCUUAGACAAAGUUUCUGCUGUUGCUGUACAUGCACAUGUGGUCAUCAGCAAAACCCAUUCUUUUCCGCUUUCAAAACACAAGCCUUGCCUUUGAGAUAAGGUGGUACUGGUGUUCAUAAGACUAUCCCAUCUCCCAGGCCUUCUCAAAACAUGGAUUGUUUGUGAUAUAAAUCACAGGACCUCAUGCAGUGUUAUGCGUUUCCAGUUGCGAGUUAACUUCACUGAAUCACACAGGCAUAUAUUAAUGCUGCUACUUUGCACCAGCACAUGAGAUAAAUGUUUAUUUAUUGCUUAUUACCAAUAAGACAUUUGUAGACCAAAAGCAGAAGCAACUAAUAUCUUGUCUGGAAACCAGGAAAGAGGUGAAAUUUAUGACAGGGAAUUGGGGAAAGAUAAUUCAUUUGCUUUAGUUCUGCGAUUAGAUCCCAAAAGGAGAAGUAAUAAAAACCUGCCACCAGAUGUCAUCUUGCAGCUAACUAAUAGCUUCCAACACAGCCGGGACUAGGGGCACAGUGAGAUGAAACUGGAAGGCACUGACACUUAAACAGGGUGCAGAGCAGCAGGGACCACUGCACUCUGACUUAGAGAAUGGCCAAGGAAACUGAGAUAUUUCGCCGUUUUCUGCGUGAAGUCUUUUCAACUCGCUUGGUCA